GCUCCUUUAGCUCAGACAGGUCAGAGCAGAUCACUCAUAAUGAUAAGGUCGCCGGUUCAAGUCCGGCAGGGAGCACCG
rnacentral:tRNA from 2 species